UAUUCUGUUAAGUGUGGCCAAAGUGACAAUUGUUGGAUGGCUACACUUGAUGGUAUUUCCCCGCGUCCGUAUUACCAUACCAA